GGUUAAGUGACUAAGCGUACACGGUGGAUGCCUUGGCAGUCAGAGGCGAUGAAAGACGUAGUAACUUGCGAUAAGCCCAGAUUAGGUAGUAACAACCAUUUGAGUCUGGGAUUUCUGAAUGGGGAAACCCACGUGCAUAAGCACGUAUCCUUACCUGAAUACAUAGGGUAAGGAGGCGAACCGGGGGAACUGAAACAUCUAAGUACCCCGAGGAAAAGAAAUCAACCGAGAUUCCGAAAGUAGCGGCGAGCGAAAUUGGACUAGCCCUUAAGCUUUACACGCGUUAGACGAACGGUCUGGAAAGUCCGACGAUACAGGGUGAUAGUCCCGUAGUUGACGACGUGUGUUCAGUGAAAUCGAGUAGGGCGGGACACGUGAUAUCCUGUCUGAAUAUGGGGGGACCAUCCUCCAGGCUAAAUACUACUGACUGACCGAUAGUGAACCAGUACCGUGAGGGAAAGCGAAAGACCCCUGUGAGGGGAGUGAAAUAGACCUGAACCGUGUACGUACAAGCAGUAGAGCAGCUUUGUCCUGUGACUGCGUACCUUUUGUAUAAUGGGUCAGCGACUUAUAUUCAGUGGCAAGGUUAACCAUCUAGGGGAGCCGUAGGGAAACCGAGUCUUAACUGGGCGUUCAGUCUCUGGAUAUAGACCCGAAACCAGGUGAUCUAGCCAUGGGCAGGUUGAAGGUUGAGUAACAUCAACUGGAGGACCGAACCGACUAAUGUUGAAAAAUUAGCGGAUGACUUGUGGCUAGGGGUGAAAGGCCAAUCAAACCUGGAGAUAGCUGGUUCUCCCCGAAAGCUAUUUAGGUAGCGCCUCGGACGAAUACUACUGGGGGUAGAGCACUGUUAAGGCUAGGGGGUCAUCCCGACUUACCAACCCUUUGCAAACUCCGAAUACCAGUAAGUACUAUCCGGGAGACACACGGCGGGUGCUAACGUCCGUCGUGGAGAGGGAAACAACCCAGACCGCCAGCUAAGGUCCCAAAUUACUACUAAGUGGGAAACGAUGUGGGAAGGCUCAGACAGCCAGGAUGUUGGCUUAGAAGCAGCCAUCAUUUAAAGAAAGCGUAAUAGCUCACUGGUCGAGUCGGCCUGCGCGGAAGAUGUAACGGGGCUAAGUAGUAAACCGAAGCUGCGGCAAUGUGCUUUUGCACAUUGGGUAGGGGAGCGUUCUGUAAGCGGUUGAAGGUGUGUGGUAACGCAUGCUGGACGUAUCAGAAGUGCGAAUGCUGACAUGAGUAACGAUAAAGGGGGUGAAAAACCUCCUCGCCGGAAGACCAAGGGUUCCUGUCCAACGUUAAUCGGGGCAGGGUAAGUCGACCCCUAAGGCGAGGCCGAAAGGCGUAGUCGAUGGGAAACGGGUUAAUAUUCCCGUACUUCUUACAAUUGCGAUGGGGGGACGGAGAAGGCUAGGUGGGCCUGGCGACGGUUGUCCAGGUUCAAGUGCGUAGGCUUAAGAGUUAGGUAAAUCCGGCUCUUUUUAAGGCUGAGACACGACGUCGAGCAUCUACGGAUGUGAAGUCAUUGAUGCCAUGCUUCCAGGAAAAGCCUCUAAGCUUCAGAUUGUAAGGAAUCGUACCCCAAACCGACACAGGUGGUCGGGUAGAGAAUACCAAGGCGCUUGAGAGAACUCGGGUGAAGGAACUAGGCAAAAUGGUACCGUAACUUCGGGAGAAGGUACGCUCUCGACGGUGAAGUCCCUCGCGGAUGGAGCUAUUGAGAGUCGCAGAUACCAGGUGGCUGCAACUGUUUAUUAAAAACACAGCACUGUGCAAAAUCGUAAGAUGACGUAUACGGUGUGACGCCUGCCCGGUGCCGGAAGGUUAAUUGAUGGGGUUAGACUUCGGUCGAAGCUCUUGAUCGAAGCCCCGGUAAACGGCGGCCGUAACUAUAACGGUCCUAAGGUAGCGAAAUUCCUUGUCGGGUAAGUUCCGACCUGCACGAAUGGCGUAAUGAUGGCCACGCUGUCUCCACCCGAGACUCAGUGAAAUUGAAAUCGCUGUGAAGAUGCAGUGUACCCGCGGCUAGACGGAAAGACCCCGUGAACCUUUACUACAGCUUGGCACUGAACAUUGACCCUACAUGUGUAGGAUAGGUGGGAGGCUUUGAAGCACGUACGCCAGUAUGUGUGGAGCCGUCCUUGAAAUACCACCCUUGUAGUGUUGAUGUUCUAACGUCGACCCCUUAUCGGGGUUGCGGACAGUGCCUGGUGGGUAGUUUGACUGGGGCGGUCUCCUCCCAAAGAGUAACGGAGGAGCACGAAGGUGGGCUAAUCACGGUUGGACAUCGUGAGGUUAGUGCAAUGGCAUAAGCCCGCUUGACUGCGAGAAUGACAAUUCGAGCAGGUGCGAAAGCAGGUCAUAGUGAUCCGGUGGUUCUGAAUGGAAGGGCCAUCGCUCAACGGAUAAAAGGUACUCCGGGGAUAACAGGCUGAUACCGCCCAAGAGUUCAUAUCGACGGCGGUGUUUGGCACCUCGAUGUCGGCUCAUCACAUCCUGGGGCUGAAGUCGGUCCCAAGGGUAUGGCUGUUCGCCAUUUAAAGUGGUACGCGAGCUGGGUUUAGAACGUCGUGAGACAGUUCGGUCCCUAUCUGCCGUGGGCGUUGGAAGAUUGAAGGGGGCUGCUCCUAGUACGAGAGGACCGGAGUGGACGAACCUCUGGUGUUCGGGUUGUGUCGCCAGACGCAUUGCCCGGUAGCUAAGUUCGGAAUCGAUAACCGCUGAAAGCAUCUAAGCGGGAAGCGAGCCCUGAGAUGAGUCUUCCCUGAUACUUUAAGUAUCCUAAAGGGUUGUCGGAGACUACGACGUUGAUAGGUCAGGUGUGUAAGUGCUGUGAGGCAUUGAGCUAACUGAUACUAAUUGCCCGUGAGGCUUAACCAU
rnacentral:rRNA from 1 species